UUAUCUGUAACAAAAAUCCCUAGGAUAUUUUAGAGAGACACAGCUUUCAACAACUGGCUCAUUAGGGCAGGGCAUUUUGUCCUCCCUGUUCCAGAAUGUCGAGCAGAGGAAUUAAUUAGCAGAAAGCCUUUAAGUUUGAUGACUGUUUCUCCAGGAGCAACAGUGGGAAAAGUUAGGUCCCUAAUGUAUCAGAGUCUUUGUCAUGAAGGCUUCAGAUGGAGACUUUAACUCUUAUGAAGUGUGAGGAUUUAUGCUAAUUAAUUUGAAGAAAAGGAAAACAGAUGUUCCUUCAAGGUUAGAGCAGCAGAAAAAAUAUUUUGAAAAACUAACUGGUCCCUUUGAAAAAAGUGAAAUGUUUGCCAACCUUCAAUAGUAAGUAAAAGGAUCCCAGAGAAACCUGGCAGGAAAGAAUCCCCACGGUAGAUCCACAGGCUUCUCCUGGCUUGGGCUGAACACAAUGUCAAGGAUAUGCAAUGUCAGCUUCAUGGACAGAAAGACUCCUAAACUUCAGAGAGGCAAGCAGGACCAGGAUAGCCAGCUCACCGAGGACAUCAAACAAGCAGAUUCAAUGGCAAGAAAUCCAGCGGUCUGAGGUUUGUGCCAGGCACUUUUCCAGGACAACUGCUCCUGAUGAGCUGAGUGCUCUAACUGCUAGUCACGUUCUCUUUUCACUUGCUCAUGCCUGGAAGGAAAGGCUGCAGGCACCAUUAAUUAGGAGAGGAAUUUGGACUGCAGGAAAUGCUGUCUGAUGUUCUUACCUGAGGAAUCAAAUUUAAGAUACAUACACAGGAUUUGCA